GACGAACGCUGGCGGCGUGCCUAAUACAUGCAGGUAGAACGCUGAAGGAGGAGCUUGCUUCUCCGGAUGAGUUGCGAACGGGUGAGUAACGCGUAGGUAACCUGCCUGGUAGCGGGGGAUAACUAUUGGAAACGAUAGCUAAUACCGCAUAAGAGUAGAUGUUGCAUGACAUUUGCUUAAAAGGUGCAAUUGCAUCACUACCAGAUGGACCUGCGUUGUAUUAGCUAGUUGGUGGGGUAACGGCUCACCAAGGCGACGAUACAUAGCCGACCUGAGAGGGUGAUCGGCCACACUGGGACUGAGACACGGCCCAGACUCCUACGGGAGGCAGCAGUAGGGAAUCUUCGGCAAUGGACGGAAGUCUGACCGAGCAACGCCGCGUGAGUGAAGAAGGUUUUCGGAUCGUAAAGCUCUGUUGUAAGAGAAGAACGAGUGUGAGAGUGGAAAGUUCACACUGUGACGGUAUCUUACCAGAAAGGGACGGCUAACUACGUGCCAGCAGCCGCGGUAAUACGUAGGUCCCGAGCGUUGUCCGGAUUUAUUGGGCGUAAAGCGAGCGCAGGCGGUUAGAUAAGUCUGAAGUUAAAGGCUGUGGCUUAGCCAUAGUACGCUUUGGAAACUGUUUAACUUGAGUGCAAGAGGGGAGAGUGGAAUUCCAUGUGUAGCGGUGAAAUGCGUAGAUAUAUGGAGGAACACCGGUGGCGAAAGCGGCUCUCUGGCUUGUAACUGACGCUGAGGCUCGAAAGCGUGGGGAGCAAACAGG
rnacentral:rRNA from 1 species